rnacentral:rRNA from 1 species
GACGAACGCUGGCGGCGUGCUUAACACAUGCAAGUCGAACGAAGUGGCGAACGGGUGAGUAACGCGGAAUCAAGCUGCCCUUCAGAGGGGGACAACAGUUGGAAACGACUGCUAAUAGCGCAAAAUGAAGGAGGGGAGUGCGUCUGAGUAGCAAGUUGGGGGGGUAACGGCCCACCAAGGCGAUGAACAGUAGCCGGUCUGCUAGGAUGAACCGCCACAUUGGGACUGAGACAAGGCCCAGACUUCUACGGGAGGCAGCAGUGGGGAAUCCUCCGCAAUGGACGAAAAUCUGACGAAGCAACGCCGCGUGAGUGAUGACGGCCUUCGGGUUUUAAAGCUCUGUUAAUCGGGACGCGGUACCGGAAUAGAAAGCCACGGCUAACUACGUGCCAGCAGCCGCGGUAAUAC